GUCAUAGCUUUAAAAAAACUUAAAACUACUCCCAAGACUUUUGGGACACUCUACAUAUAAGCAAUUUCCAGUAAGAGUGAGAAGAGUCUCAUUCUAUUACAAUGGGACUAUGAGUAAGGAUGGAUUUUCUCUCUGUAGUGAGACCAGAAAAAAGAUGUAAACUCUUCAGUUUGGAAAAUAAGAUUUAAAAAUAAGGAUCCUUGUAAGCUAUAUGACAACAUUUUAGAAAGAAGGAGGAACAUUUCCCCAACAUUUUGGGAUUGUGAGAUUGGAGGACAGACCUAUUCUCUCUACUUCCUAGAUCAGCUGUUUGACUUUGGGGAGCCGCCCUUUCUUAUUUUCUUUCAUUUCCACCAACAAAUGGAAAUUAGCUCUAUGAUGAAGACAAAAGAAAUCUUAGAAAAGACUUGAUGUCUGUCUAAGAUGGAUUUAAUCUACUGAUUGUCUAUAUUUAUAAGAGGUGUAGGAUUUCCACAUUUUUGUAUUAUAAUUGAAUAACUCAAUAGUGAACAUUUUUAAAGAGAAAGGAAGUUUACCUUUCAUUUGGGUAAUUACCCCUUUUGCUUUUUAGGAUUUAUUUAUAAAAUAAGAAUUAAUAGAAUUUUUUCAUUAAUUUCAGAAUCUUAGUGUAAAUUUUAGAGAGCUACCAAAACAAGUCAAUAGGACCCUGGAAUUGAGUUCUUUAGAUAGGGGUGGUGGUAAGUGAAGGUAAUGGUAGCUUUGGGCUUUUAAUGCCACAUUGAAGGAUGCUAUUGUUUUGCUUGCCUUGAAUGUAAUUUAAUUGAGAAAAAGAAUAUUUAGUGCGGCUCCUUACCCUGGGUAAAAGCAAGUUCAAAAUUAGUUAGUGUUGGAAAAGAUUUUUAGUGAUAUUCAUUAUAAUUGUGAAAACUUGGUAUUCCUAUAGUAUUUUCAGCCAUUCAGGCCACUUGAAAAAUAGAAGUGUAGUAAUGGGAUGUGUGUGUAUGUGUUUUUAUCUGUCUAUGUGUUUGUUUUGGUAUAGGCCAAGAUUACCACAGAUCCCACUGCCUCUUUGAAAGAGGUAAAAUGAAAUCAUUAUUAUGAAAGUCAAGGGAACUUGAUGCCCUAUUUAAAGGAGGUGAAAGGACAGAAAAGAUGAUGGGAUCCAUUCUAGCUAAAACCUUUAAGGUUGCCAUGAGGCAGAUAGGAUUUUAAUCCAUGAUUUGCAGUCUCUACUUUCUGAAUCAGAAAGUAGGAUACAUUAGAUGUCAUGAUAUUAUUUUUUCCAGAAACCCUUGCGAUAAAAGCAUACUUUUAUAUUCUUAAAAUCAGGACUGUCCCAGAAAAUCUGGAGUGUAAGGCCUAAAACCUUAGCCAAGUACAGUCUAUUUAAAAGUCUCUUCAAUGAAGUGAGAAGUCAUGAAGAAGCUGAAAGUCAUUUUAACAGACAUCUACCUAUAAAUGUAAUCCAGGCAAGCUGGGUAAGAGAGAUUGACCUCAUGAAUACAAUUUAAAACUCUGCUCAAACCCAUUAAUGUUUUUAAAUACUUAAUGUUUUAUUUUGCACAAGAGGGUAUAAAGUCUUUUUUAAAAGUCAAACUUUAAAGCAGUUUAUAGAAACACAUUCCUAAGUGUAGUAGAAUCUAAUUAAAUGUAAUAUGCAAAUUCGUUUAAAUAAACUCUUGGUCUGAGUAGAAAAGAGAUAUGGGUUUCACUCUUCUGCUAAAUAUAGAUCAUUUGGGAUCAGAGAGAACCCUAGUUAUAGACAGUUCUCACUUCUCAGUGGAACGAUACAACUUUUUUUCCUUUUUUCUGUUUUUUUCAGGAUAUGAAAAGAGGAUCAGAUGCUAUGACAGUAGGGAAGUUAGAAAGACACUAUAGUCAUCCUUUGAUUAAAUGGAAGCAGGCAGAGAACUGAUGCUAUGAUAUCUUAGCUACCAGCUGCUAAUGAGAAAUGAACCUCAAGGGACUGACGUCAGAGAUCAGAAACAUCUGGCUUGCUUAUUCAUGACCUGUCAGAAAAACGUAUUGUUGGAGCUGAGAUGGUUUGGUAGAUGCAAGCUUGGAAACAAGGAGUUUCUCUGUUCAUGAACUCAAGAAAUUGUGAGUAAUUAAGAAGAUGAAGAAUGUAUGUGGUGUACUUUGGAGAUCUAUCUACAGAUAAUAUACUUCUUAAACUGAAGAUACCAAUCUGCAUUUCUCAGGGAGAAAUUGGGGGAAAUGGAGUUACCUUCCAGGAAAAUCUGCCAAAGAGAUGUGGGGAAAAAAUUCUGCAAAGAAGAAUUUUCGUUCACUGGAAUCCAGUUAGAAUCAACUGAGAGAAGAGAUGACAUACAACGAACAGGGACAGGUGAAUGCAGAGAAGCUCCUGGAAGGGUUACCUGGAUUUUUUCAAGGCUAUGAGUUACACAAUCAAGCAGAAGAUUCUUUGAAGCUACAAGAAGAGGUCAAAGCAGCAUGUUCACAAGGUGCUGAUUUUCUGAUCUUCUGCCUCUGUGUCCUCUUGAGAGUCAUUGGGCAGCUUUUCCUAAUCUCUAGACUGCUCCUGCCACCCCAUGUAAGUAAAAGCUUGAUCCAUAAAUCAAUCAGUGAAUAAAAGUUUCAAGAUUUUUGUUCCUGACUGAUCCCUAGGAAGAAGGAAAGGUGAUUAGUAUGCUUUAACCUCUGGUCUAUACUCUGGGUUCCCUUAAGACAUAAUAAAUAAGGAAAAAUGGGAAUUUCUAGCAAACUCUUGUGUGACUAGUUAUCAAAUUGUGCAUCAGAGGAAUCUCUAACAACAACAUCCGCUUAAAAAUUCAGGGUUCAUACUUUAGGUUUAGGAUGGUCACAGUAUAAGAAGAAAAUAAGUUGGAGAUUUAAGUAUAUAAAGAUAGUUUUGUCAAUAUUAUUUAUUUUUUCUAACAUAUGCAAACAAUUUUUUUGCUUGAGAUGUUUUUUAUCUUAUUUUAUUUUUCCAAUUACACGUGAAAAUAAUUUUUAUCUUCAUUUUUUAUAAUUUUUAGUUCCAGUUUCUCUCCCACCAUACCUUUCCUCCCCUCACCCUCAUUGAAAAGGCAAGCAUUUUAAUAAAGGUUAUAAAUGUGCAAUCAUCCAAAACUCAUUUUCUUAUUAGUCAUUAAACAUUUUUAACAUGUAUUUUUUUAAUUGAAUUAAUUUUUCUCCCUUUUCUUCCCUUUCAUUGAGAAGGCAAGCAAUUUGAUGUAAAUUAUACAUUUAUCAUCAUGCUAAACAUUUCUGUAUUGGCUAUGUUGCCAAAAAAAACAGACAAAAAAAGAAUAAUAAAGUAAAAAAGAAGUAUGCUUCAGUUUGCAUUCAUAUG